rnacentral:rRNA from 1 species
AAAACGACUCUCGGCAACGGAUAUCUCGGCUCUCGCAUCGAUGAAAAACGUAGCGAAAUGCGAUACUUGGUGUGAAUUGCAGAAUCCCGUGAACCAUCGAGUCUUUGAACGCAAGUUGCGCCCUAAGCCUUCUGGCCGAGGGCACGUCUGCCUGGGUGUCACAAA